AAGUGCCACAACUUUAGAUAAUUUAAGUUACAUAAUUUAGAAGAUUUUUGAUAUAGAUUUGGCAAAUUGGGAUGAUUUGGAGAACCUGGCUCAGGAAUUUCUCCCUGAUUUUUUUUUUUCUUGUGAUGAUGAAAAGGAAAGCAAAGACCUAGCAGCAAAUGCAAAAUAAGAGCAGCGGAGUGUUGGGGGGAAGGAAAUGCUUUGAAGCUGGCUAUUCUUCGGAUCAUAGUGGUGACAACACAUGAUCCUGAUGAUCAGACGACUAGCACAGGUAUGAAUACAAAAGAUACAUUUAAAAAAAUAUAUAUUUCCCUCUCAGAAUUCAUAAAAUAAAGUGACAGAUUAUUAGCAUAAUUUACAUGAACAAGUGUAAAAAUUGAUCAGAAACAUACCUUUACUAACCGAAUAUGUGACUGUUAUCAAAAUUUUAAUCUCUCUAAAGCUUAUAUACACGUUUAAGAACACUCAAAGAAGCCCGAAACCUGAAUUGUCACCUAACUUAAAUGAUAAAUGUAUUACAUGAUUACAGUUAGUAGUAAUCUCUACAACCUGAAGAAACGCAAGCCUUUAUCAACAUUAUCUUGCCUAAAGGCAAGAAUCCCAAAUUUACAGAUCUAAAUUUCAGUCUGAGUCUAAGGUCAAGUAUUUAUUUCAUAAUAACGUAAGCUCUUUGGUAAGGGUGCUAGUCAGCUCUCAUAUAAUAUGUAUCAAGUAUAAGCAAAUUCAAUAGAUAUCAGCAUGCUGUAUUUGUUUAGGAUCCUAACUCCAUUUUACAGUAUUAAACCCAAAUCAACAGAUCCUUCACUACGGACAAAUAUCAGCUGAUUGAAUAAUCAACUAAAGGCCUGAAUCCAUUGUUGGGAGCAACAGAAAGAAAACUAUCAAAAUACACAAAGUAGCAAAUUCCACAUAUUCUAUCUAUUGGGAUGAUUUGGAGAACCAGGCUCAGGAAUUUCUCCCUGAUUUUUUUUUUCUUGUGAUGAUGAAAAGGAAAGCAAAGACCUAGCAGCAAAUGCAAAAUAAGAGCAGCGGAGUGUUGGGGGGAAGGAAAUGCUUUGAAGCUGGCUAUUCUUCGGAUCAUAGUGGUGACAACACAUGAUCCUGAUGAUCAGACGACUAGCACAGGUAUGAAUACAAAAGAUACAUUUAAAAAAAUAUAUAUUUCCCUCUCAGAAUUCAUAAAAUAAAGUGACAGAUUAUUAGCAUAAUUUACAUGAACAAGUGUAAAAAUUGAUCAGAAACAUACCUUUACUAACCGAAUAUGUGACUGUUAUGAAAAUUUUAUUCUCUCGAAAGCUUAUAUACACGUUUAAGAACACUCAAAGAAGCCCGAAACCUGAAUUGUCACCUAACUUAAAUGAUAAAUGUAUUACAUGAUUACAGUUGGUAGUAAUCUCUACAACCUGAAGAAACGCAAGCCUUUAUCAACAUUAUCUUGCCUAAAGGCAAGAAUCCCAAAUUUACAGAUCUAAAUUUCAGUCUGAGUCUAAGGUCAAGUAUUUAUUUCAUAAUAACGUAAGCUCUUUGGUAAGGGUGCUAGUCAGCUCUCAUAUAAUAUGUAUCAAGUAUAAGCAAAUUCAAUAGAUAUCAGCAUGCUGUAUAUGUUUAGGAUCCUAACUCCAUUUUACAG
rnacentral:lncRNA from 1 species